AUGGGCAUGCGGCGCAUUAGCUAGUCGGCGGGGUAACGGCCCACCGAGGCGACGAUGCGCAGGGGUUCUGAGAGGAAGGUCCCCCACACUGGUACUGAGACACGGACCAGACUCCUACGGGAGGCAGCAGUGAGGAAUAUUGGUCAAUGGGCGCGAGCCUGAACCAGCCAAGUCGCGUGAGGGAUGACGGUCCUACGGAUUGUAAACCUCUUUUGCCGGGGAGCAAGCGUGCGUUCGUGAACGCGCGUCGAGAGUACCCGGAGAAAAAGCAUCGGCUAACUCCGUGCCAGCAGCCGCGGUAAUACGGAGGAUGCGAGCGUUAUCCGGAUUUAUUGGGUUUAAAGGGUGCGUAGGCGGGAUGCCAAGUCAGCGGUAAAAAUGCGGUGCUCAACGCCGUCGAGCCGUUGAAACUGGCGUUCUUGAGUGGGCGAGAAGUAUGCGGAAUGCGUGGUGUAGCGGUGAAAUGCAUAGAUAUCACGCAGAACUCCGAUUGCGAAGGCAGCAUACCGGCGCCCUACUGACGCUGAGGCACGAAAGCGUGGGUAUCGAACAGGAUUAGAUACCCUGGUAGUCCACGCAGUAAACGAUGAAUGCUAACUGUCCGGCUCGAAUGAGCGCUGG
rnacentral:rRNA from 1 species